CACUAGCCCGGAUAGCAGCGGCAUCCUUUUCUUGCUUUCUUUAGGCAAGAAAAGAUACAGCGAAGAGCGGGAAAUAGC
rnacentral:sRNA from 1 species